UGGGGAAUAUUGCACAAUGGGCGAAAGCCUGAUACAGCAACGCCGCGUGAGCGAAGAAGGUCUUCGGAUCGUAAAGCUCUGUCCUUGGGGAAGAUAAUGACGGUACCCUUGGAGGAAGCCCCGGCUAACUACGUGCCAGCAGCCGCGGUAAUACGUAGGGGGCAAGCGUUAUCCGGAUUUACUGGGUGUAAAGGGAGCGUAGACGGAACGGCAAGUUUGAAGUGAAAUACCUGGGCUUAACCCGGGAACUGCUUUGAAAACUGUCGAUCUAGAGUGUCGGAGAGGUAAGUGGAAUUCCUGGUGUAGUAGUGAAAUGCGUAGAUAUCAGGAAGAACACCGGAGGCGAAGGCGGCUUACUGGACGAUAACUGACGUUGAGGCUCGAAAGCGUGGGGAGCAAACAGGAUUAGAUACCCUGGUAGU
rnacentral:rRNA from 1 species